AGAACGAACGCUGGCGGCAUGCCUAAUACAUGCAAGUCGAACGAACACUUCGGUGUUAGUGGCGCACGGGUGCGUAACGCGUGGGAAUCUGCCCUUGGGUUCGGAAUAACAGUUGGAAACGACUGCUAAUACCGGAUGAUAUCGAAAGAUCAAAGAUUUAUCGCCCAGGGAUGAGCCCGCGUAGGAUUAGCUAGUUGGUGAGGUAAAGGCUCACCAAGGCGACGAUCCUUAGCUGGUCUGAGAGGAUGAUCAGCCACACUGGGACUGAGACACGGCCCAG
rnacentral:rRNA from 1 species